rnacentral:rRNA from 1 species
AGAGUUUGAUCCUGGCUCAGGACGAACGCUGGCGGCGUGCUUAACACAUGCAAGUCGAACGGAAAGGCCCUUCGGGGUACUCGAGUGGCGAACGGGUGAGUAACACGUGGGUGAUCUGCCCUGCACUUUGGGAUAAGCCUGGGAAACUGGGUCUAAUACCGAAUAGGACCACGGGCUUCAUGGUGUGUGGUGGAAAGCUUUUGCGGUGUGGGAUGGGCCCGCGGCCUAUCAGCUUGUUGGUGGGGUAAUGGCCUACCAAGGCGACGACGGGUAGCCGGCCUGAGAGGGUGACCGGCCACACUGGGACUGAGAUACGGCCCAGACUCCUACGGGAGGCAGCAGUGGGGAAUACUGCACAAUGGGCGCAAGCCUGAUGCAGCGACGCCCCGUGAGGGAUGACGGCCUUCGGGUUGUAAACCUCUUUCAAUAGGGACGAAGCGCAAGUGACGGUACCUAUAGAAGAAGCACCGGCCAACUACGUGCCAGCAGCCGCGGUAAUACGUAGGGUGCGAGCGUUGUCCGGAAUUACUGGGCGUAAAGAGCUCGUAGGUGGUUUGUCGCGUUGUUCGUGAAAACUCACAGCUUAACUGUGGGCGUGCGGGCGAUACGGGCAGACUAGAGUACUGCAGGGGAGACUGGAAUUCCUGGUGUAGCGGUGGAAUGCGCAGAUAUCAGGAGGAACACCGGUGGCGAAGGCGGGUCUCUGGGCAGUAACUGACGCUGAGGAGCGAAAGCGUGGGGAGCGAACAGGAUUAGAUACCCUGGUAGUCCAA